CGGAGGAUCCAAGCGUUAUCCGGAAUCAUUGGGUUUAAAGGGUCCGUAGGCGGUUUUGUAAGUCAGUGGUGAAAUCUGGUCGCUCAACGAUCAAACGGCCAUUGAUACUGUAAGACUUGAAUUACUUGGAAGUAACUAGAAUAUGUAGUGUAGCGGUGAAAUGCUUAGAGAUUACAUGGAAUACCAAUUGCGAAGGCAGGUUACUACAAGUAUAUUGACGCUGAUGGACGAAAGCGUGGGGAGCGAACAGGAUUAGAUACCCUGGUAGUCCACGCCGUAAACGAUGGAUACUAGCUGUUUGGAGCAAUCUGAGUGGCUAAGCGAAAGUGAUAAGUAUCCCACCUGGGGAGUACGCUCGCAAGAGUG
rnacentral:rRNA from 1 species